rnacentral:misc_RNA from 1 species
AAAGGAGCUAAUUCAGCUCCUUUUUCUGUUUCUCGAUCUAAUUGAGAUUAUUUAUUGUCGCGUUUAUAUAAUUCAACAAAUGCACGUUGAUAAGCAGAUGCGAUUUUAGUUAGAAUAUUUUUAGCCAUAGCGUCACCUUUAUACUUUAUUUUUAAUAAAUAUCUUGUCUCUAUGGCGCGAAUUAUAGAUAUUUUAAGAAGUAAUAACAGCGAGUAAAAUUAAUUUAUUGCAUUAG